GUUCUGAGUAUCUCUAUCUGAGAAUCGAGUUCUUCUUUUCGUAUUCUUCCUGACGCGCCGACGUCGAGGGCUCGGUUUCUCAAGGAAAGUCCCGAAAUUUGUACACCGCGAGAAUGAGGCAGAUAGACAUCAUUAUAAUUGAUUACCGCGGCUGUGUCUAGACAACGUUGCUUCCUAAUCGUUACACUCUAAAAAAAAAAGAUAACCUUUGUUUUCUGAUAUAUCAUUACUUCUUUUUUUUAGUGAAUAAGCAGGUAAACGUGAUCAAUUUGAUUUAAACUUGAUUUUUUUGUAGUUAAUGAUGUGAAAAAAGAUUUUAAAUGGUUUAGAAAAUCAAAAUAAUUUACCUUUUAUUAUUUUACAUAUUUGUUAAUAAUCAGUACCAGCUUUUUUCAGUGUAUUUGCCGAUGAAGAAGUCAUCGACGUUUUGGAUCUUAUCACCCCUCGGUUAUGUACUUUGUCGCCUUCACAGUAUUUGUAUCUGUGUUUGUUCAGUAUCUCUAUCUGUAUUUUGUAUCUGUGUUUGCAUUUCAGCUCGUAUUUAAAUUGUUUACUUGUGCGUGAGUUUGACUUCGGGCUCAGUUAUCAAUGCACUUUCCUUCUGGUCUUUAAUUGAAUUGUUUUGCUGCUCGCUGCUGUUGUUUUUGCCUCUGCCUCUGGCCCCCCUGCUCCACCCACUUGACAGCCCCCGCCCCCAAGAUAAGCGGUCAGUUGCAAAAACAAAGCGCCAGCGAAAGCGGCCGCAGGCGAACUGAGAGACCGCGUGCGAAAUUCAAAUUCAAAUUUGUGCCGCCAUUUGGCCGUAAACGUUUCGGGGUUCGUGGAAGGAAGGACAACAGAAGGAGCGGCGGCGGGGUGGGAAAGUUGGAACUCUACCCAUUUGUGUGAUUUAUGGCAUGGCGCGCUACUUUCCGCUGGCGGCUAACAACACAACAGCAACGAGGACGAGCGGUCCCUGGAAUAUCCUGGCCGCUCUGGAAAUGCCAGCGAUCCCAGCGCCGUCUCUUUAGUGCUGUCUCUUUUGCGCCGGAGCAGGGGCGCAUGCGCGAAAAGGCAAAAACAAGGGGGUGGUGUACAACGCAUUGAAUCGAGUCCGGCUUCAGCCAUGCUGGGAAAUUCUGAGGGAUAUUUAAAGAGCAGCAUUCGGGAAAUUUAGGCACCUUUAACUUGGCUGUUCAUAGAAAUUCUUUUAUACGGCUGAUGCCCGACUCCUGAUCAGCCCCGGGCCAAGUCUCCCCCUAAAAUCCUUCGAGGUUAACCCGGCUUUACUCUGCGUGAUGAUUGAUGACGACGCUGUCUGUCUGGCGAAGAAAUUCCCCCGAAGAGCGACGAAACUAUGGCCACAGUUUCUGGAAAAUUAAAUCACAUCUUAAAUCGUUUCGGGGACUUCUGCUGAAAUGAGGCCGUUCCCAUGGGAGAGCAACUGCAUCUGUCGUCCGAACUCGGACCCGCACUCUCACUCGUACUCGUACUCCCCAUCUGCCGGAAUCCUCGUCUCUGAGUGCACAUUCGAAUCAGAUAAUUGUAAAUUGUGUAAAAUAAUAAAUUUCCAGUUAACUAUC